rnacentral:rRNA from 1 species
GACGGAGGAUGCAAGUGUUAUCCGGAAUCACUGGGCGUAAAGCGUCUGUAGGCGGCUUAAUAAGUCAACUGUUAAAUCUUGAGGCUCAACCUCAAAAUCGCAGUCGAAACUAUUAGGCUAGAGUAUAGUAGGGGUAAAGGGAAUUUCCAGUGGAGCGGUGAAAUGCGUAGAGAUUGGAAAGAACACCGAUGGCGAAGGCACUUUACUGGGCUAUUACUAACACUCAGAGACGAAAGCGAGGGGAGCAAAUGGG